AUCCCUUUCCAGGUCAGGGCCAUGCAGGGGCAACUCUAAGCUGUUCUGAGUCCCAGGCUUGAUUGAGCCUUGUUGGAUGAUGAUGUAAUGAAAGGGCUUUGGGCAAUUCCUAUUAGGGCUCUACCUGGAGGAGAUAGAUCUUUAGUUAUGUAGAAUAGACUGGUUCAGGCCUUAAUGGCCCAUUGACAAAGGUGUGGGGGGGUUGAGUUUCUGCCUCUCUGAGUUUCUAGUUCUCUUUUAGGGGAAAUAUCCUGCCUUUUUAGUAU